CGACACAGAACGAUAGCUACUCUGCAACAGUGAGAGGCGAGGCGCAUCGUCUCCAGCACCCAUCGCCGGUUUAAACAUGCCAGAAACUGGCGAGGGCGCACUUGAAUCAACAUGACGCCGGGAUUGCUAACGAGAUAGCCGAUAACGAGGCACCGGGGAGGCCGCUGCCGGCGAGGAAGACUCACAAGAGGUUUCUCCCACCAGCCACCGGCAUGCUGUCAUUAACAUCGGGCACAGCGAGGAGGAUGUUGCGGUAGUCGGACUCCUCCGUCAUCCUCAUCUCCCGAUGACCGGCCCCAACUCCCCGAGCCGGGGGGCCAAGCUGAGCCGGCACGGCCGCUCCAAGAGCUCCAGCGCUCACUGCCUGCUGCGUCGGGCCGCCCAGGAGGAGUCGAGCGAAGGCAGCAGCCCCAACCGCGAGGAAGAGGAGAAAGAUGGAGGGAUGCUCUUCUACGUCAACCGCUCCGGCUUCCCCAUCGAGGGAGCGACCUGGGCGAGGAUGUGGGCUCACGUCGCCGCCGUGCACCCCGAGGGGCAGGAGAUGGUGGACGGGAUACGCAACGCCGCGUACCUGCCCAAGCAUCACGUCCCCCCGCUGCCCACCUUCAAGCCGGCAAUGUCGGUGCCAGACUGGCUCGUGGUGGUCCAGAAUUUCAUGAAGGCUCUGCAAUACAACCACACGGGCACACAGUUCUUUGAGAUCAAGAAGAACCGGCCUUUGUGUGGGUUAGUGACAUUUCCCAUCAUCGGGGCUAAUGGAGACGGCGCGGGAGAUGAUCCGGGAGUCUCUGCCAAUCAAAUGUCUGGAAGCUGUCAUCCUGGGAAUCUACCUGACCAACGGACUGACGUCCCUGGAGCGCUUCCCGAUCAGCUUCAAGACGCAGUUCUCGGGCCACUGCUUCCACCACGUGGUUCUGGGCGUCUACUGCAACGGACGCUACGGCUCCCUGGGCAUGAGCCGACGCUCGGACCUCAUGGACAAGCCGCUCAGCCACCGGACGCUGGGGGAGCUGGUGGCCGACUUCGAAAGCUCUUACAAGCGAUACCAACACAGCCUCAAGAAGGUGAAGAUCGGUCUGUACGUGCCUCACGACCCUCACGUGUGUCAGGCCAUCGAGUGGAAGUACCUGGUGCUAAACGCCGCCAAGAUGGCCGCUCCGGAGAUGAGGCGCGAGCUGGAGAAACAUGGACGAGACAUGAGGAUGAAGAUCUUAAAGUCAUCUAGCGCUCAGUCUCCCAUCCACGAGCGAAGCCGUGGCAAGUCUCUGUCGCCGCGCCGCCACCGCCAGGGCGGCAGCCCGCAGCGACGUCUCGCGCGAAGCAGAGACAAGUCGCCGGCGUGCGUGGAGACGAAAGCUCCGGAACUGAGCACACUCAACGACGGCUACCAGAUCCGAAUAUGACGUCACUCCUCGGUCCCGCUCGGAUCCUUCCGGACUUUCCCAGCUGUCCCCCCACCCCCCUCCUGUGAUGACGUCAUCUGUAGCAAAUACCCAAAUACCCUUGGCCCCACCAUCUUUCUACGUGGCCGAACGGAAGUCGUGUUUAUGCAAACCGUCCAAUCACGGGAGGCUUCCGAGACUUUAUGAGGAGCGCGUCACGAGCACAAAUCUCUGGCCUCCGCUAGUACUGUCCGACCCAAGAAGACGAUCAUCAUCAAUUGCAGCUCGUCAGUGGUAAUCAAUCACAGAGCCACUGAUGUGGAUGCUGCCUUUAAAGAGCAACAAAAAUCGAACUUCCAUGUCGGAAAAACUGAAAUACAGGAUGUGGUGCUGUCCUUUGCUCAUUUGGAUUGGAUUAUUUUUAGCAUCGUAAAAAGUUACAUCUACAUACAGGUGUAUCUCAUUAAGAAUAUCGUGGACAACUUUGUGCAUUUCUGUAGUUUAAUUCAAAAAGUCAAAGUCAUACAGAUGUAUUAAACGCAUGAAAAUAGUUCUUAGAAGGCCAAUUAGGAAUUGGAAUUUUUACAUUAAAAAUCUUUUUGAUAGCUUCUUGUGUUAUAUUGAAAUUUCUUGAGGUGGUGAAUUUCGGUGUUUUUCUCAAAAUGAUCAAAAAUUGAAUUAUUAAAUAUGAAAUAAUAACUGCUCAAUUAUAACGCACUUUUUGUUUUGAAGUACUGAAAUAAACGCGUUUUCUACGAUAAUGUCAUGAAUUGAGAUGCACCUGCAAGUCUAUUAUGUAGCAUAUCCACUGUAGGGGUAGAACGUCGAAUUUCAAACCUGAAGUAAUUACUUUUUUUUUUUAAACAAAAUGGAGCCUGAUGGAAUCAAAGGAAACGGAAAAUAAACUGUUCCAGCAUUAAACUACUUUAUGAAGUGUACAGGUCAAUAUUUCACAUUUUUAAGUCGCAUUUAAUCAUUCUUCGACAAGUGAGUUGGAAAAAAUAAGUUGUAGGAGCAACUUUGAUGUUAGGUGUUCUACUGUACUGCGUUGCACAUCUCUGUCACGUCAGAUUUUAAAAACUUUGUUGUUGCUUGAAUGUUUUUCUCCCGUCGACGUUUCUCCACGAUGAGCUAUGCACACACGUCCGCGUCUUCCCGAGCCGAGGAGGCGGCGGAGCACAAACGCAGCACGUGGAUUUUUUUUUUUUAUGACACCAUGUUGGAGCGCCACUGCUGGUCACAUGGCCAAAGUGAUGCAUACACAAAAUGUUCAUGGCUUAAACGCAUGUUGUGUCAUUGAUGUCAGACAGCAAGUUGUGCAAAAAAGUACUGGACCAUUGAACAGUUCAAAGUUUACAGAAGGUCAAAUGCAUUUUAUACCUCGGGAUGAGCAAGGACCGAUACCAGGGAUCGGUAUGGAGCCAGGUAUCGGGUACUCGUGAAGGCUGCCACCGAUACUAAAGACAUAAAAAUCUGACACGGAGUUUGUCCUCCUCGCCAUUAGUGGGCGCUACACAUCAGCAAUCAUCAUCUGCGUCAGAAAGAAAGAAAGGUCUUCGUUCACAAUCAUCUGUCAUUGUGUUCAUCAAAAUUUGAUGUAUCAAAAGUACUACUGGUAACGGUGAGCACUUGAGCAAAUACUUGCACUGGUAUCAGUCUGGGGGGAAAAAAGUAUCGAACAUCCCUAGUUGGUGUGUAUUUCAAGUACAUCCUGAAAUUUCACUAUUGCAACUUUUUCACGUUUUAACUCGCGGAAUGUCUUUUUUUUUUUUAUUAUUAUUGCCGACAUUUAAGUGAUGCGUUCGUGUUCCUAUGAAGGCCUUAUUUCAAAAAAACAAUCGAGUAAGUAAACAAGUGGUCUGUUAUAAAAAGAUGGAUGUUUUAUUUUUACAGUACAUGCAUUGAAAAAAAAAAGAUGUUUAAGUGUUUUUAAAGUUGAACCGAAAAUUGGUGUGACGUGUGUGACCCCCUGGAGCAUGUUUGAUUUUGUAACCAUGGCAACCCAGCCUCCACGCCUCCAGUGUCAACCGGAAUUGUGACAUCAUCAGACUUGUUACGGCGAGGCAUCUCCUCUUCUUUCAUCAAUAAAAUUGGUUUUCUUUGCGGGUU